rnacentral:rRNA from 1 species
AUGCCUGCCCGCACCACCGUCCCCUUGCUCCCGGAGGGGGCGACGGCGUUGCGGAUUCCCACCGACCGUCCGGCCUUCUACGGCAUCUUCAAGGGGUACGAUGUCUUGCCGGCCGCCACCGCCGUCCGCCUGGCCGUCCCGCCGUCGCAGACGCCCCGGUCCCGUCCGGACCUCGCGUACGUUACGCUGCGCCGCAGCCCGGGGGAGGUGCUCUACGCGAAGCGCUUCGCGUACGCGUACAUCACCCCGGCCCCGUGCCGGGAGACCUUUGAGGUCUUCCCGAGCUGCGGGUACGGCGACGCCACGCUCCGCUUCGGCACGCCCGCCGAGCGGGAGGCGGCGAUGCGCAGGCAGCCGUUCGAGGUCGACGGCGUCACGGUGAAGCUCCUGCGGGACACCGAGAGCGUCCCCAACGUCCCCGUCCCCGAGAUGGACGACUGCAUGGCCCACGUCGCCCUGCACGACUACCCGGUGGAGCAGCGGACCGCCGAGGACAUCGAGGACAACUGCCGGCGCUUCGGGUUCCUGCGCGAGGUCGACCCGGCCUGCUUCACGGCGCCCGACCUCUCCACGGUCCGCGUCGUCCUUGAGCUCGGGCACCCUCGAGAGAUCCUGCGGGAGCUCCGGAUCGCCUACAUGUUCGACGACUCCUCCAGCGUCGUCCCCGUCCAGAUCGUCAAGGUUUGGAACGGCGCGCAUUCCUACGACGCCCCACGUGCGUCUCUUCCAGGCCCCGGCGGCGUCGGCCUGACCCUGACGGAUGCGGGGUGCAGAGUGCGUGCUCUGUUUGGUUGUGCCUGA